UUUGUUUUAUAAUAAACCAGCCCGCUGUGCUCGUUGUACUUCAGUUUGACCUAUUUUUCAUCAGCUACGAAUAAUAUAAUCGCUGAAAUCCUCAAACUGCGGGAGUGUGCGCGUCCUCCGCCAUAACUGAAGAGGAAUUUCAACAUGUAGGCAUUUCCUGUCGCCGCACCUUCAGCAUAAACCGCAUUUAUUUUUUAAGAAACCGCAAACGGGACAUAAAGAUCCGGGAGGACGGGACGCUUUGACCCGAAAUCCUGCGCCGGGUCGGUGUUGAGGUCGGGAUUUGUCUCGGUGUCACUGAGGCAGCAGCAUCAGCAGCAGCAGCAUCAGCAGCAGCAUCCUCCUCUCGCCGGAAUGAAACGGCGCCAGUCAGGAUAAUCAUUUGAUUUCCAGCAGGUUCUUUAGUUCCAGACGACUUCCUGGUCCAACACACCUGAGCGAACAUCCUUGGUCCUGCUGAUGACCUCAUCAUUUAACUCAGUCUGACUCCGGGUCUGGGAGGAACCAAUGGCUGCUGGCAUGCCGUUGUCGUUUUGUGGCGACAAGGUUCCCAGUGCAUACGGCAUCAACGAUGGCGUGCUCAACAAUGGCUGCUUCGUGGACGCCCUCAACCUGGUUCCUCAUGUCUUCCUGCUCUUCAUCACCUUCCCCAUCCUCUUCAUUGGUUGGGGCAGCCAGAGCUCCAAGGUUCAGAUUCAUCACAACACAUGGCUUCAUUUCCCCGGACACAACAUGCGGUGGAUCCUCACCUUCCUGCUGCUCUUCGUCCACGUGUGCGAGUUCGCAGAGGGCAUCGUCUCCAACACGACAAUGACCUCCAACCACCUCCACCUCUUCAUGCCGGCCUUCAUGGGUUUCAUUGCUGCAACAACAUCAGUUGUUUACUACCACAACAUAGAGACGUCCAACUUCCCCAAACUGCUGCUGGUCCUCUUCAUCUACUGGGUGUUGGCGUUCAUAACCAAAUCCAUCAAGCUGUGGAAGUUCGCAGAGUUUGGCAUCCGGUUCAAGUACCUGCGGUUCUGCAUCACGGCCCUGUUGGUGAUCCUUUACGGACUGCUGAUGGCCGUGGAGAUCAACGUCAUCCGAGUCCGGAAAUAUGUUUUCUUCACCAACCCCCAGAAGGUGAAACCGCCGGAGGAUUUACAGGAUUUAGGCGUCCGCUUCCUGCAGCCGUUCGUCAACCUGCUUUCUAAGGCGACGUAUUGGUGGAUGAACCCCCUCAUUAUUGGCGCCCAUAAGAGGCCGAUAGAGCUGAAGAAGAUCGGGAAGCUGCCCAUCGCUAUGAGAGCGCUGACCAACUACCUGAGGCUGAAAGACGCCUACGAGGAUCAGAGGACGGGCGAAGAUCCGGACCGAGCGCCGUCCAUCUGGCGCUCCAUGUACAGAGCCUUCGGCCGGCCGAUCCUGCUCAGCAGCACCUUCCGGUACCUGGCCGACCUGCUGGGGUUCGCCGGGCCGCUCUGCAUCUACGGCAUCGUUCGCAACCUGGAUGACGAUAACAACAACACGUCGGCGAACAAGAACAUGGAAAACCAUUUCCGUGUGUACUUCAUGUACACCACCGAGCUUCUGGAGAACAGCUCCGUCUUGGCCGUUCUCCUCUUCCUGGCGUUAGUCCUGCAGAGAACCUUCCUGCAGGCGUCCUACUACGUCACCAUCGAGACGGGCAUCAACCUGAGGGGCGCUCUGCUGGCGAUGAUCUACAAUAAAAUCCUGCGACUGUCCACCUCCAACAUGUCGAUGGGGGAGAUGACUCUGGGGCAGAUAAACAACCUGGUUGCCAUAGAAACCAACCAGCUGAUGUGGUUCCUCUUCCUCUGCCCCAACCUCUGGGCCAUGCCUGUACAGAUUGUGAUGGGAGUGAUUCUGCUCUACAACUUUCUGAGCUGGAGCGCCUUGGUUGGAGCGUCGGUUAUAGUUCUGCUGGCUCCGGUCCAGUACCUCAUCGCCACGAAGUUGGCAGAAACGCAGAAAAGCGCGCUGGAACAUUCCACAGACCGUCUGAAACAGACGACAGAGAUCCUGAAGGGCAUAAAGCUGCUGAAGCUCUACGCCUGGGAGGAUAUCUUCUGCGACAGCGUGGAGCAAACCAGAGGCAAAGAACUGACCAGCCUCAGGACGUUUGCUUUCUACACCUCCAUGUCCAUUUUCAUGAACGCUGCUAUUCCCAUUGCUGCCGUUCUUGCUACGUUUGGGGUUCAUCACUUCCUCACCAGCAGCAUUCCCAGUCCUUCUCAAGCCUUUGCAGCGCUGGCGCUUUUCCACAUCCUGGUGACGCCGCUCUUCCUGCUCUCCACUGUGGUCAGAUUUGCGGUGAAAGCUCUCGUCAGUGUCCAGAAGCUUGGUGAGUUUCUCCAGAGUGAUGAAAUCGGGGACGACAGCUGGAGAAAUGGAGAUAUAUCAGUUUCCCUGGACGUAGGGAAGAAACACCUGGGGAUGACCAAAGCCAUCAACAGGAAGCAGCCGAUGCGCUACCAGAUGGACAACUACGAGCAGCCGAGCCGGCGGGCGAUGAGACCCACCGAGACGGAGGAUGUGGCCGUAAAGGUGAGCAACGGCUCCUUCACCUGGGGAAACAACCAGCUGACCCUGUCAGACAUCAGCAUACGCAUCCCCACAGGUCAGUUAACGAUGAUCGUGGGUCAGGUGGGAUGUGGGAAAUCCUCCCUGCUGCUGGCCAUGCUGGGCGAGAUGCAGGCGAUCGAUGGAAGAGUUUACUGGAGCAAGCUGCCUGAUUGUGAGAUGGCCCACGAAGGGAAUAUCAGUUGGUCAGAGACAGAGGACUCUGAGGAGGACAUCGGGAGCAAGAACAGGAACUCUGUAGCCUACGCUGCCCAGAAGUCUUGGCUGCUUAACGCCACGGUGGAGGACAACAUCACCUUUGGCAGUCCCUUCAACAAGCAACGGUACAAAGCUGUGAUCGACGCGUGCUCCCUUCAGCCGGACAUCGACCUGCUGCCUUUUGGAGAUCAGACUGAGAUUGGGGAGAGGGGGAUCAACCUGAGUGGGGGUCAGAGGCAGAGAAUCUGUGUGGCCAGGGCUUUGUACCAAAACACCAAUAUUGUCUUUUUGGACGAUCCGUUUUCAGCGCUGGACAUCCACCUGAGCGAUCACCUGAUGCAGGAGGGAAUCCUGAAGUUUCUGCAGGAUGAUAAGCGAACCGUGGUCCUCGUCACCCACAAGCUGCAGUACCUCAUACACGCAGACUGGAUCAUAGCGAUGAAGGACGGCUCGGUCCUCAGAGAGGGAACCCUGAAGGACAUUCAGACUCACGACACACAGCUUUACGAUCACUGGAAAACUCUGAUGAACAGGCAGGACCAGGAGCUGGAGAAGGAUAUUCAGCAGGACAGUCAGACGACUCUGGAGAGGAAGACGCUGCGCAGAGCGUUCUACUCCAGAGAACCAAAGAACCAGAUGGACGAUGAGGACGAAGAGGAGGAAGUGGAGGAAGAAGACGACGAUAAUUUCUCCACCACAACCAGCAGACGGUCCAAGAUCCCGUGGAAGAUGUGCGGCUGCUACCUCUCCUCUGGAGGCUUCUUCAUGGUCUUCCUCAUGGUUUCCUCCAAGCUGCUGAAGCACUCGGUCAUCGUUGCCAUUGACUACUGCCUGGCUCUCUGGACGUCCACCAAUCAGACGGCAGAAAACCUCCAGAACUGGACCGCAGCCAAUCAGACGGCAGCGUUCCUGCAGAAUGGGACCAGCUCCAUAAACUCCACUGAUAUUUCUCCUCAAUCCGAGCAUGACGUGUACUACCUGCACGUGUUUUUCGUCCUCUGCGCGGCGGGGAUCACCUUGUGCCUCAUCACCUCCCUCUCUGUGGAGUUUCUGGGUCUUUCUGCUGCCACCAACCUGCAUCACAACCUGCUCAACAAGAUCAUCCACGCCCCCAUCAGGUUUUUUGACGUCACUCCUUUGGGGCAGAUCCUUAACAGAUUUUCUGCUGACACCAACAUCAUCGACCAGCACAUUCCUCCGACGCUGGAGUCUUUGACGCGGUCGACCCUGCUCUGCCUGUCCGCCAUCGGGGUCAUAGCUUCCAUCACUCCGGCUUUCCUCGUCGCCUUGGUGCCCCUCGCCGUCGCCUUCUACUUCAUUCAGAAAUAUUUCAGAGUCGCCUCCAAGGACCUGCAGGACCUGGAUGACUCCACCCAGCUGCCUCUGCUCUGCCACUUCUCUGAGACCGCCGAAGGCCUCACCACCAUCAGAGCGUUCAGACACGAGGCGAGGUUCAAGCAGCGCAUGUUGGAGCUGACGGACACCAACAACACCGCCUACCUGUUUCUGUCUGCUGCCAACCGCUGGCUGGAGGUCCGAACGGACUACCUGGGCGCGGUGAUCGUCCUGACGGUGGCCGUCGCCUCCAUCUGGUCCGGUCGGCCCGGCGGAGGCCUGGUGGGACUCGGCCUGACCUACGCCCUCACGAUCACUAACUACCUGAACUGGGUUGUGAGGAACUUGGCCGACUUGGAGGUCCAGAUGGCAGCGGUGAAGAAAGUCAACAGCUUCCUGGGCACAGAGUCCGAGAACUACGAGGGAUCGAUGGACGCCUCUCAGGUCCCUGAGAACUGGCCUCGUGACGGUGAGAUAAAGAUCCACGACCUGUGUGUGCGCUACGACCCCAUGCUCAAGCCCGUGCUGAAGCACGUCAACGCCUACAUCAAGCCGGGCCAGAAGGUGGGAAUCUGCGGCCGCACCGGCAGCGGGAAGUCCUCUCUGUCUCUCGCCUUUUUCAACAUGGUGGAUAUUUUUGAAGGGCGGAUCGUCAUCGACGGGAUCGACAUCUGUAAGCUUCCCCUGCAGACGCUCCGGUCUCGACUCUCCAUCAUCCUGCAGGAUCCGGUUCUGUUCAGCGGCUCCAUAAGGUUUAAUCUGGAUCCAGAGCGCAUGUGCACUGACGACCGCCUGUGGGAGGCGCUAGAGAUCGCUCAGCUGAAGAACUUGGUUAAAUCGCUUCCUGGAGGACUCGACGCCGUUGUGACAGAAGGAGGGGAAAACUUCAGCGUCGGGCAGCGGCAGCUCUUCUGUCUGGCCAGAGCCUUCGUCAGGAAGAGCAGCAUCCUCAUCAUGGAUGAAGCCACGGCGUCCAUCGACAUGGCGACGGAAAACAUCCUGCAGAAAGUCGUGAUGACGGCGUUCGCAGACAGAACCGUCGUUACGAUCGCACACCUCGUCUCCUCCAUCUUGGACGCGGAGCAGGUGCUGGUCUUCUCCUCGGGGAUCUUGGUGGAAAGUGACUCGGGUCCCAACCUCCUAGCGCAGGAGGAAAGCCUCUUCAGUGUGCUAGUGAGGACUCACAAGUAGACCCGGAUACACUCAGACCCACCGCCGACCUCUGACCUCCGACCUCUGUCUGUUUUCCUGCUUUUCCCGGCUGAAGUCUGAGUCUGGGUCUGCUGAAGCCUUACUGCCACUGACUGCCUGCACCGAGUCCACACCAUCCUAACCGCUGAUCUGGUCAUUGUGAUGAAGCGAGGAAACAUCCUGGAGUACGACACACCGGACACUUUGCUGGAGCAGGAAGACGGGAUGUUCGCUUCCUUUGUCAAAGCCGACAUGUAGACUCCAACAACCGACGGAUCGGUUUUAAUUUCCACUCUCGAUUUUUAGUUCAAACUCAUUUUUACAACAAAGACAAACAGAAACAUCACGUCUAAACCGAUGAUACAGCAGGAAGCUGUGGACAAGCUGAAACAGUCGUGUUAAUCCAGUUAAUCUCAUCUUGGAUCACCAUCAUGCUCACAAUCUGUAGGAAAAGUCUCACGUUAAACACAGACGUCUCGUUACUUCAGUUAGUUUUAUAAAUCAUCUCUAAAGGUUUUGAGCAUCAAUGGGGUUUUCAGUAAAACCUCAAUUAUCAGGUGUUUGUUAGUAAUUAGAUCUACUAGAUUAAAACCCCAAAUUACUGUAAAGUCUAGAUAAUUUAGCCUAAAUUUUCUACAAAAAAAUAAUUUUUUAAAUUAAACCUGAAAGUGGAGAAUUAAAAUAAAAUUACUACGUUAAACACUGUAGUUUCUUGUGUGGUUAUAAGUUUGUCCAACAUUAGUAGCUAGUUUAACAAGCACUCGUGGGCAGUGCUAACUAAAAAGCUAGUUGCGCUAACCCUAAAUCACUAAUCUUAAGCAUUAGCUCUGCUAACGCUAAACAGCUACACCAGCAGGGUCUUUAAUGCUAAUACUGAAGCGCCAUGUGUCAAUAACAUGAGCUACAUCGUAGAAUAUCGACCUCAACUGGAUCACAUUUGUCAUCACACACUUCUGUUUGCGCUACAGGGAAAGAUUAUGUGAAACAAACCUCUCACUCCUGGUUUCAGAUUUAUAGUUGCUUUGCUAACUCUGCAGCAUAGGCUAAAGAGUUUCAUCCCACUUCAAAGUUGUUAGCCGAACAGUCAACAAUCAAAACUUCACUCACAUGUCGAACUUUAUUUUAAUUAGCUCCACGAUUAGCGGGAGUGACCCAUCAGUGUUGACAGGCUUCUGCAACUUAGAAUUUUGUCCAUAUUUCUCUACGAACUCUUCUUCUUCUUUGUUUCACGACCAAUAAUAAUGGCUCCAAGAUUAAGACUGACAUGUGGUUAAUUAAAUUUAUUUUGUUUUAUUUCUUCUUUUCAGCAGAUUCUACAAAAAUCAAAGGCUGGAUUACUCCAGUUAGAAUCCGAGAUUUAGCAUCUUUCAACUGCAAACACACUCAGGAAGACGUGCGUUAAUCCGCCACAUUAAAUAGUCCCAGAUGAGUUCAGUGUUUCUUUUAAGGUUUUAAAACUUACUAUCACUGGUUUUUGUGCCUCUUGGGAUUUUAAAACAUUUUGUGAAAUUUACCCUGAAGAUCCCGGACGAGCCCCCAGUUGUUUUAUCUCUCUUUGUCUAGCUGAGUAUCUACAGGCUCUGUGCUUUUAGGGCCUUUUGUGAUUUCAUUGUUUUUAAACUGUUUAAUUUUUACAUAUUGUAACAUUUUACACUUUUAUCAGUUUUAACAGAUGCUAAGCAAUAAUAAUUCAGAAGGUUUGAAUGUUGGCUGGUGUUUGGUGCUUCAUGCAGUUUUUUUCACUGUGAAGGAAGUUUUUAUUAUUAUUAUUUUACUCUUAGGUUUAUUGUAAGGUUCUACCACAGAAAUACGACUGAUAGAGAUGACUGAACUGGUUCCUCAGGAUUAUAUUGGUGGGUAAAUGGAGCAGUUUUGAUAUGGGCAGUUGUCCAGGGUGGCAUCAGGAAGGGGAGGACAUAAUAUAUAAGAAAAUUAGAGUUGGUACUUUAACACUUUAACUUUGAUUAAUUAAUUACAAAGAACGGUUGUGUUCAAGUUGUGCUAAAAUGAGUUAGCCAAUCAGCGAAGCUACUCAAUCCUAAUGCUAAUUGUGUUGGUAAUGCUAAUGUUAGCGUCCACAUUUCUAAAGAUGCUCCAUGAACAGAUUAAAAACAAUAAAUAUCUUAGUUAGUGAGCUCAUUUAAUUCAAUAAUUUGACAAUAAAAAGGUUCUUAAUUGAAAAGUUUAUUUUGUUAAUGUGUUGGUUUUGAUUAUUACAAUUAAUUGAUUACAGACCCUGAAAUUAACUCUACUAAAAACCUCAAUGUAGUCCCACCACUAAAAUAAUACAACUUAAAUAUUUGAAGUUGCAUCAUUUUAUUAUUUUGUUGUUAAGCUUCCAGACUAAAACAGUCUGUUAAACCUGCAGCCUGUUUCGGUCGUAUUUCUGUGCAGACUUCAGUGCGAACUGACCGGAGCCGCGGCUCCGCCUGCAGCCGCGGCUCCGCCUGCAGCCGCUGACCCUGCAGCCGCGGCUCCGCCUGCAGCCGCGGCUCCGCCUGCAGCCGCUGACCCUGCAGCCGCGGCUCCGCCUGCAGCCGCGGCUCCGCCUGCAGCCGCUGACCCUGCAGCCGCUGACCCUGCUGUCUGUCUGCUGUCAUGCUUUGCUGAACGUUUUCUGUUUCCUUUUAGGGACGACGGCUUCUGGUACCUGGAGAGGUGAUUUUCUGUAAAGUCUGAUUAAAACUUUUCUAAUAUGAUUUUUUAAAUGAGUUCAGGUUCAUUUAGUUAGAAAUAAAGUUAAACUUUCUGGCAGAAAGCUUCCAUGAAUAAUGGUUGGUUAAAUUUUACCAAGAUUUUACUGGAAAGUUUUUCGUGACUUAGAGACAUUUUGUUGCAUCUUUUGUUUUACCAACUAAAAACUUUCUAAUGGCCAAUUUAAUCAGCUGCCAGCAUUUUAUAUAUUAAAAAAACAAAACAAAAAAGCAAGAUUGUAUUUCUGGAAGAAAUUUGCAUUGUGUUUAUAUUCCUGUUUGUUAAUAAUUAUGCUCUGAUAAUCUGAUUAUUGUUGGCCUUUGUGCUUUUUUUAUAGGUGAAUCCUCAUUUUCAGAGCAUUAAUUACUGAUCAAAUAUUUUAGAUAUUUACCAAACAGACCUGGAAACAUUUAUGUUAUUUAUGAUAUUUUAAAUAUAAAUAAUUCUUAUUUUCUUUAACAAAGUUAAAAUAGACAUUUCACCCAUUUAUAGUCAGAACUACUAAUAAAUUAUAAUUAUUUAGUUUUAUGCUAUUUCAUAAUAAUUUAGCAACAUCUUUUCACCUCUCUGGAAACGUUGCUGUUGUCUCUGUUUUCUGGUUAAUUGGUUAAACUGUUUUUAUAUGAUUUAUAUGAUUUUUAUUAUUUUAUGGCUUCUCUUCUGUCAGGAGAAAACACCAGGUUUAUUAGAUUGUUUAUUUCAGUUUUUUCUGAUGUUUCAUCUCAAGUCAAACAUCACCAGGUUUGUUUGUUUUUUCACUCACUCGUGUUAAAAUCUUCUCACUUCAACCUUUCCUCCUCACUUCUAAACAUUGUUCUCGUUUUUUUAAAUUUUUUAUCCAUGCAGCUGAGAUCAAAUUGUUUGCAUUUUUACUCUGCUGGAUUCUUUUAACACAACAAACUGUCUGUGAAAACGGCAGCAAUGAAAACAAGCAAGAUGAAACAGAUUAAUGUGACUUAAUUAACAAAAAUCGGUGACAUCAGCAGCUCUAUGCAGAAAGUCUCACUUGUUCUGAAUUCACUCGACUGUUAGUGACUUUAAAUGCAAGUUUUAUAUGAUUUUUAUAAGCAUAUGUCAAUUCUGUUUGCAUAUCUAAGGGUUUUAGUAAUAUAAAACAAUGAUUUAUUAUUUGUGCCUAUUUUUUUACACAUGAAAUGAUAAUAAACAGUUUUAAGUAAA